UAAUAGCGUAUAUUAAAGUUGUUGCAGUUAAAAAGCUCGUAGUCGGAUUUCGGGCUCGGGCAGGCUGUCGGCCUCGGUCGGACGGCAGGCUCGGGCCUUUCUGCCUGGGGACUCCGUCACACUUAACUGUGGGGCGGUUGGACGCAGGCCGUUUACUUUGAAAAAAUUAGAGUGUUCAAAGCAGGCAAUCGCUUGAAUACAUUAGCAUGGAAUAAUAGAAUAGGACUUUGGUUCUAUUUUGUUGGUUUCUAGGACCGAAGUAAUGAUUAAUAGGGACAGUUGGGGGCAUUAGUAUUUAAUUGUCAGAGGUGAAAUUCUUGGAUUUAUGAAAGACUAACUACUGCGAAAGCAUUUGCCAAGGAUGUUUUCAUUAAUCAAGAACGAAAGUUAGGGGAUCGAAGAUGAUCAGAUACCGU
rnacentral:rRNA from 1 species